GUGAAUGUGAAGCUUAGUACUCAGUUUUUGGAGAAGGUGAGUAUGAUGGUGGUGGUGGAGAACUGUAGACAUAUGGUGGUGGAGGAGAUUUGUAGUCAACCUUAGGGGAAGGUGAGUAGUAUGGUGGUGGAGGAGAUUUGUAGUCAACCUUAGGGGAAGGUGAGUAGUAUGGUGGUGGUGGUGAACUAUAGACGUAUGGUGGUGGUGGAGAUUUGUAAUCUACCUUAGGGGCAGGUGAGUAGUAUGGUGGUGGGGGUGAGCUGUAGACAUACGGUGGUGGGGGAGAUUUGUAGUCUACCUUCGGGGAAGGUGAGUAGUAUGGUGGUGGUGGUGAGCUAUAGACGUACGGUGGUGGAGGAGAUUUGUAGUCUACUUUAGGGGAAGGUGAGUAGUAUGGUGGUGGUGGUGAGCUGUAGACGUACGGUGGUGGGGGAGAUUUGUAGUCUACCUUAGGGGAAGGUGAGUAGUAUGGUGGUGGUGGUGAGCUGUAGACGUACGGUGGUGGGGGAGACUUGUAAACUACUUUAGGAGAAGGAGAGUAGUAUGGUGGUGGUGGUGAGCUGUAGACGUACGGUGGUGGGGGAGACUUGUAGACUACCUUAGGAGAAGGAGAGUAGUAUGGUGGUGGUGGAGAACUGUAGACAUACGGUGGUGGAGGAGACUUGUAGACUACCUUAGGAGAAGGAGAAUAAUAUGGUGGUGGUGGAGAACUGUAAACGUAUGGUGGUGGGGGAGACUUGUAGACUACCUUAGGAGAAGGAGAGUAGUAUGGUGGUGGUGGAGAACUGUAGACAUACGGUGGUGGGGGAGACUUGUAGACUACCUUAGGAGAAGGAGAAUAGUAUGGAGGUGGUGGAGAACUGUAAACAUACGGUGGUGGGGGAGACUUGUAGACUACCUUAGGAGAAGGAGAGUAGUAUGGUGGUGGUGGAGAACUAUAGACAUACGGUGGUGGGGGAGACUUGUAGUGUACCUUAGGGGAAGGAGAGUAAUAUGGUGGUGGUGGAGAACUGUAGACAUACGGUGGUGGGGGAGACUUGUAGUGUACCUUAGGAGAAGGAGAGUGAUAUGGUGGUGGUGGAGAACUGUAAACGUACGGUGGUGGGGAGGACUUGUACACAACCUUUGGAGAUGGAGAAUAACAUGGAGGAGGUGGUGGACAGACACAUACAUGAGGGUGUGGUGGAGAUUUGUAUAGAACCUUAGGGGAUGGUGCGUGGUAUGGUGAUGGAGGAGACUUGUAGUAUACUUUAGGAGAAGGGGAGUAGUAUGGUGGUGGUGGAGAACUGUAAACGUAUGGUGGUGGGGGAGACUUGUAGACUACCUUAGGAGAAGGAGAGUAGUAUGGUGGUGGUGGAGAACUGUAGACAUACGGUGGUGGGGGAGACUUGUAGACUACCUUAGGAGAAGGAGAGUAGUAUGGAGGUGGUGGAGAACUGUAAACAUACGGUGGUGGGGGAGACUUGUAGACUACCUUAGGAGAAGGAGAGUAGUAUGGUGGUGGUGGAGAACUGUAGACAUACGGUGGUGGGGGAGACUUGUAUAAAACCUUUGGUGAAGGAGAGUAGUACGGUGGUGGUGGAGAACUGUAAACAUAUGGUGGUGGAGGAGACUUGUAGUCUACCUUAGGGGAUGGUGAAUAGUAUGGUGGUGGAGGAGAACUGUAAACAUAUGGUGGAGGAGGAGAUUUGUAUACAACCUUUGGAGAUGGCGAGUAGUAUGGUGGUGGAGGAGAACUGUAAACAUAUGGUGGAGGAGGAGAUUUGUAGUCUACCUUAGGGGAUGGUGAGUAGUAUGGUGGUGGUGGGGAACUGUAAACAUAUGGUGGAGGAGGAGACUUGUAUACAACCUUUGGUGAAGGUGUGUAGUAUGGGGGUGGUGGGGAGCUGUAGACGUACGGUGGUGGGGGAGAUUUGUAGACUAUCUUAGGAGAAGGUGAGUAGUAUGGUGGUGGUGGUGAGCUGUAGACGUAUGGUGGUGGUGGAGACUUGUAGUCUACCUUAGGUGAUGGUGAGUAGUAUGGUGGUGGUGGAGAACUGUAAACAUAUGGUGGAGGAGGAGAUUUGUAGUCUACCUUCGGGGUUGGUGAGUAGUAUGGUGGUGGUGGGGAACUGUAAACAUAUGGUGGAGGAGGAGACUUGUAUACAACCUUAGGGGAUGGAGAGUAGUAUGGUGGUGGUGGAGAACUGUAGACAUACGGUGGUGGGGGAGAUUUGUAGUCUACCUUAGGGGAAGGUGAGUAGUAUGGGGGUGGUGGGGAGCUGUAGACGUACGGUGGUGGGGGAGAUUUGUAGACUAUCUUAGGAGAAGGUGAGUAGUAUGGUGGUGGUGGUGAGCUGUAGACGUAUGGUGGUGGUGGAGACUUGUAGUCUACCUUAGGUGAUGGUGAGUAGUAUGGUGGUGGUGGAGAACUGUAAACAUAUGGUGGAGGAGGAGACUUGUAUACAACCUUAGGGGAUGGAGAGUAAUAUGGUGGUGGUGGAGAACUAUAAACAUAUGGUGGUGGAGGAGAUUUGUAAUCUACCUUAGGGGAUGGUGAAUAAUAUGAUGGUGGUGGAGAGUUGUAAACAUACGGUGAUGGUGGAGAUUUGUACUCCACCUUAGGGGAUGGCGAAUAGUAUGGUGGUGGUGGGGAACUGUAAACAUAUGGUGGUGGAGGAGAUUUGUAGUCUACCUUAGGAGAUGGUGAAUAGAUUGGUGGUGGUGGCGAACUGUAAACAUAUGGUGGUGGAGGAGACUUGUAGUCUACCUUUGGGGAUGGAGAGUAAUAUGGUGGUGGUGGAGAGUUGUAGACAUAUGGUGGUGGAGGAGACUUGUACUCAACUUUAGGAGAUGGUGAAUAGUAUGGUGGUGGUGGAGAUUUAUAAUCAACUUUAGGCGCUGGAGAGUAUUCUAGUGGUGGUGGUGGAGAACUGUAAACAUCUGGUAAUGGAGGAGAUUUGUAUUCCACUUUGGGAAGUGGCACAGAGUAUGGUGGAGGUGAGCUAUCUGUGUAUGGCUCAUAUGCCG
rnacentral:lncRNA from 1 species